UACAGAGGUCUCAAGCGUUGUUCGGAUUCAUUGGGCGUAAAGGGUGUGUAGGUGGCGCUGUAAGUCGGGUGUGAAAUCUCGGGGCUUAACUCCGAAACUGCAUUCGAUACUGCGGUGCUUGAGGACUGGAGAGGAGACUGGAAUUCAUGGUGUAGCAGUGAAAUGCGUAGAGAUCAUGAGGAAGACCAGUGGCGAAGGCGGGUCUCUGGACAGUUCCUGACGCUGAGGCACGAAGGCCAGGGGAGCAAACGGG
rnacentral:rRNA from 1 species